GCCAGGCGAAGGCUUCCACAACUACCACCACACGUUCCCCUUCGACUACGCCACCAGCGAAUUCGGCUGCAGGCUCAACCUCACCACCGCCUUCAUCGACCUCAUGUGCUUCCUGCGCCUGGCCUGCGAGCGCCGGUCGGCAUCCAAGGAGAUGAUAGCGGCCCGCGUGCAGCGGACGGGUGACGGAAGCGUUAAAAGUGGCUGAGCCGCAACGUCGAGUCGCGUUUCGAGUAUCUGGUCAUUCAGUGCAUUGUUGUGGUGCAACGUGGUACCACAACAUUGAAGUCGCACGCCUCUUAAUUCCGACAUGCUUGUCUAUUGUAAAAAAGUCAUCUGAACCAACUCGCUUCACGUUUGUCGUCUUUUGGGAGAAUGAAACACAAUGAGCGCAUUGUGGUUGGAGGUAGGGAGUCAAUGGGUUUUUCUGCACACGCACGCACGGGAACCUCUCCCUUAUAUAUUUAUGCUGUUAUUUUUGAUUUAGAGAUAAUUGUUUGCCCUCAGAUAAGACUGUCAGUCAGAAAUGCACUGCUGCAAAACAUCUCGGAGUCACGUGUGGGGGGGAGGGGGGAGGGUGGGGGUCAUGUCUUACAAAGGUGAUCUACUAAUACAACCAGAAGUACAAAUCAUCCAAAUAGAAUGGUGUUGUAUCAUCAUUGCUUUCUUACAUCGAUUUGGACGUGACUCGUAAGUGAUAGUUAGACGUUUUUUUAAAGGGUUAACUGAUACAAAAAAAUGGCAGAAAUUUUCACUGAAUGUCUGUUAUAAUAAACAUAAUUUCAUACCUGAGAAAUUUGGUUACCUUACAUUUGGAAUGCUAGGAUUACCCUUUGAUGAAAUUCAUAUUA